AACGAACGCUGGCGGCAUGCCUAACACAUGCAAGUCGAACGAGAUCUUCGGGUCUAGUGGCGCACGGGUGCGUAACGCGUGGGAAUCUGCCCUUUGGUUCGGAAUAACAGUUGGAAACGACUGCUAAUACCGGAUGAUGACGAAAGUCCAAAGAUUUAUCGCCAGAGGAUGAGCCCGCGUAGGAUUAGCUAGUUGGUGUGGUAAAGGCGCACCAAGGCGACGAUCCUUAGCUGGUCUGAGAGGAUGAUCAGCCACACUGGGACUGAGACACGGCCCAGACUCCUACGGGAGGCAGCAGUGGGGAAUAUUGGACAAUGGGCGAAAGCCUGAUCCAGCAAUGCUGCGUGAGUGAUGAAGACCUUAGGGUUGUAAAGCUCUUUUACCCGGGAUGAUAAUGACAGUACCGGGAGAAUAAGCUCCGGCUAACUCCGUGCCAGCAGCCGCCGUAA
rnacentral:rRNA from 1 species